rnacentral:rRNA from 1 species
UACAGAGGGUGCGAGCGUUGUUCGGAAUUAUUGGGCGUAAAGGGCGCGUAGGCGGCGCGGUAAGUCACCUGUGAAAUCUCCUGGCUCAACUGGGAGCUUGCAGGCGAAACUGCCGUGCUGGAGUGUGGGAGAGGUGCGUGGAAUUCCUGGUGUAGCGGUGAAAUGCGUAGAUAUCAAGAGGAACACCUGAGGUGAAGACGGGUUGCUGGGCUGACACUGACGCUGAGUGCGCGAAAGCCAGGGGAGCAAACGGG